AAAUUUUGCUGUUUUUGGUUAUUAUCUUGAAUAUUAUUAUAGAUAGAGAUAAACUGUAAACAGCAAUAAUGUUGAGCAAAGUAAGAUUUACAAAUAAGUCAACAUGAUUGAAAUGGUCAGUUGACCCCUUUAGGAGUUAUUGCCCUUUAUAGUCAAUUUUUAACCAUUUUUCGUAAAUCUUAGUUAUCUUUUACAAAAAUCUUCUCCUCUGAAACUACUGGGCCAAGUUCAUUAUAAAUAGAGAUAAUUGUAAGCAGUAAGAAUGUUCAGUAAAGUAAGAUGUACAAACACAUCACCAUCACAGAAACACAAUUUUGUCAUGAAUCCAUCUGCGUCCUUUGUUUAAUAUUCACAUAGACCAAGGUGAGCGACACA
rnacentral:lncRNA from 1 species